rnacentral:rRNA from 1 species
CGGUAAUUCCAGCUCCAAUAGCGUAUACUAAAGUUGUUGCAGUUAAAAAGCUCGUAGUUGGAUUUCUGCGGGGACGGAGCGGCCGGACGCAACUUGCGUCUCGAGCUAGCGCUUUCCCCGCAUCCUGCCGCGAACCGUGCUACCAUUAGCUUGGUGGCGCUGGGGAUCGGCUCGAUUACUUUGAGAAAAAUAGAGCGUUCAAAGCAGGCCACACGCCUUGAAUAAGUUAGCAUGGAAUAAUGACUAAGGACUUCGGUUCUAUUUUGUUGGUGUUCGGGACUGAAGUAAUGAUUGAUAGGGACAGUUGGGGCGGUCUGUAUUCCAAAGCGAGAGGUGAAAUUCUUAGACCUUCGGAAGACAAACAGCUGCGAAAGCGUUCCGCAAGGAUGUUCCCUUUGAUUAAGAACGAAAGUUGGGGGAUCGAAGACGAUCAGAUACCGUCGUAGUCUCAACUAUAAACUAUACCAGCUAGGGAUCGGUCAACGUUUAAUCAUUCGACUUGAUCGGCACCUUAUGAGAAAUCAAAGCAUCUGGGUUCCGGGGGGAGUAUGGUCGCAAGGCUGAAACUUAAAGGAAUUGACGGAAGGGCACCACCAGCCGUGGAGCCUGUGGCUUAAUUUGACUCAACACGGGAAAACUUACCAGGUCCAGACAUAGUAAGGAUUGACAGAUUGAUAGCUCUUUCUUGAUUCUGUGGGUGGUGGUGCAUGGCCGUUCUUAGUUGGUGGAGUGAUUUGUCUGGUUAAUUCCGUUAACGAACGAGACCCCAGCCUGCUAAAUAGCGCGGCUGAGCUUUGCUCGGUGCGAGCUUCUUAGAGGGACUAUGAUGCGCGAUAGCACAUGGAAGUUUGGGGCAAUAACAGGUCUGUGAUGCCCUUAGAUGUUCUGGGCCGCACACGGGCUACACUGGCGCCUGCAACGAGCAUAUCAGCUGGCCCGAGAGGGUCUUGGCUAAUCUUUUGAACCGGCGCCGUGCUUGGGAUUGACCAUUGCAAUUGUUGGUCAUGCAACGAGGAAUGCCUUGUAAACGCGAGUCAUCAGCUCGCAUUGAAUACGUCCCUGCCCUUUGUACACACCGCCCGUCGCUCCUACCGAUGAAUGUUCCGAUGAAAUUUUCGGAGAGCGCCAGAGAACGGGGCUCUGCCUUGCAGAUCUGGAGGCUCAAAGUCACUUAAAUCUGAACAUUUCGAGGAAGGAGAAGUCGUAACAAGGUAGCCG